UACGGUGAAUAAAGGAUCAACAUUCUUCAACAUCUCUCGUCUUGGUGUUCUCCUGCGGGUCUUUGACAUCAGAGUGCUAAUUGGCUUGGAGGUUUUGGGAAGUGGUCGAUUUUCCACGACACUAGCCUUGCUGCUAAUAGCACUGCAGGAGCAGUGAGCAAGAAUCGCAGGUUGAUGCCUAACUUUAACGUUAGUCCAUUGGGCUAGUUUUUGCCCUGGUCCUCUGACAUCCAUCCGUGAACGGCGCUGCUAUUCACCGUCUGCUCGAAAAUAUUUCUCAGGACAGCUCUGCGAGAGAUCUGCCACUGCCGUGACCAAGGAACUGCUGCUGACCUGCGAGCUGCCAUGAUAGCAGCCUGCCCUGCAGUCUGGAUUGAGUAGCCUAGCUAACGUCGAAGAACUCUCACGAAACAACAAACUGUCACUGUCAAAGUCCACCGACCUGCUGAUCUGCAGGAUCGCCCAACUGUUCUGUGCUUUCAGUGCUCCCCAGACUGCCAGUAAUCUUCCUCCGACACAGCUGAGCGCCGUCGUCGUCAUCAUCGGGACAUCAGCCGGUUAGAUGCAACGGACUAUGUUAACAUGACAUUUUCUUUCAGUGCGUUUAGCAGAGUUUGUUUAUCAACAUAAGCCUUAUAUUUCACAUAUUGGUUUGUGUUAUGUUGUAGGCCUAGGCCUAAGCUUAGGCUAGCGGACACAGUGUUCUCUUGCCUUUUUAAAAUAAAAAACUGAAUUACAAAAACUGUAAUUCAAAAAAAUUUUGAAUUACAAAUUGUGUGGGUCUCAAUUGUCUGAUAGCUUAAAUAUGAAUCACAGACCAGGGCCAGAUGAGCCCCAGAUGUAGAAUAUGAGUCUGGACCAGAUCCGCACCAAAUGCCAUGGCAAUAUUAACUGUACGAUCUGUCUCUGAUCCGUAAUUUCAACCUGUUCCGGUAUUGGCCCGUUGGAAGAAAUGACCCCGGGGCAGGUCCGUUUAGAGGAUCUGCGCCAAUUAAGCUAAUGAAGAUCUGGACCAAAUCUGGCCAAAAUAUAUUUUGCUGUCUGGGUAUGCAUGCCGCUCCAAACUAAAUGCAUGUCUAAAGCCUGCCUCGAAUACCAGCCUGCCUCAAAUAAAGAUGAUGAUAAAUGAUU